rnacentral:misc_RNA from 1 species
AACCAGACCCCAGAGUAGCAGAACCCAACAACACAUGAUCAAUGAAACAGUAAGCAGUAAUACUAAACAAUCAUAUAAACAGCAAACAACCCUUAAUUACCCCCAAGCAGAAUGUCUAGCUUCUGUCAUGUAUAGCUGCCACCUGCCAGCCGGUUACGUAUAUUAUAAGUUAGAACACACAAAUUUACUUAUCUCAUCCAUGACAG